rnacentral:rRNA from 1 species
GAUGAACGCUGGCGGCGUGCCUAAUACAUGCAAGUCGAACGAAACUUCUUUAUCACCGAGUGCUUGCACUCACCGAUAAAGAGUUGAGUGUCGAACGGGUGAGUAACACGUGGGCAACCUGCCCAAAAGAGGGGGAUAACACUUGGAAACAGGUGCUAAUACCGCAUAACCAUAGUUACCGCAUGGUAACUAUGUAAAAGGUGGCUAUACUACCGCUUUUGGAUGGGCCCGCGGCGCAUUAGCUAGUUGGUAGGGUAAAGGCUUACCAAGGCAAUGAUGCGUAGCCGAAUUGAGAGGUUGAUCGGCCACAUUGGGACUGAGACACGGCCCAAACUCCUACGGGAGGCAGCAGUAGGGAAUCUUCCACAAUGGGCGAAAGCCUGAUGGAGCAACGCCGCGUGGGUGAAGAAGGUCUUCGGAUCGUAAAACCCUGUUGUUAGAGAAGAAAGUGCGUGAGAGUAACUGUUCACGUUUCGACGGUAUCUAACCAGAAAGCCACGGCUAACUACGUG